GGAAAGGUGGCAGAGUGGCUUAUCGCGCACCCCUGCUAAGGGUGUGAACCUUUACGGGUUCCGAGGGUUCGACUCCCUCUCUUUCCGCCA
rnacentral:tRNA from 2 species